rnacentral:lncRNA from 1 species
GAGUUUUUUGCAUUCCUGAUCAAAUGUACAGACUUAUUGCGCCAAGUCUUAUAUUGAGACCAAUUAGUAUUGUGAGCAUCAUUCGCAUUCUUCCGGAACAUUUUAAGAUAGUAAUCGCGAUUGUGUUGAGCUAUGCGGAUUUCUUCACAAAACCAUCCCGGACGUUUCUUAGAUUUGACUCGUUUUUUUAUGAGAGGUGCAUGGGUAUUUAAUACCGAAUUAAAGUGUUCAUAAAAUAUUUCAAGUUGAUCGUCAGGAGAGUCAAAUAUUUCUAAUGUGGUAGAAGGCAGAGUAUCAAGGUCACUACAGAACCGAGAUACAUUUAAAUGCUUAGUUCUG